GUGAUAACUACACUGCCAUUUUUGCUCGAAGCAGGCUGUGUAGAGGUAAUUGUUUCCCUAUUACGCGAUGCAUCUGUCUCAUUGAUAGCUCUCAUUGCAUCAAGAACAUAGCCAGGAGAAGAACUAGAUACAACGAAGUAUUUAGCCAGUGUAGCAACAAGCAGCAGCAAAUAAACUGCCAUGUACCAGGGGGCUUGUUUAGUUUUUUGAAUCAACUCUUUG
rnacentral:misc_RNA from 1 species